rnacentral:rRNA from 1 species
GGGUGUGUAAUGCUUGGGAAUCUGGCUUAUGGAGGGGGAUAACUACUGGAAACGGUAGCUAAUACCGCGUAAGGUCUAAGGACAAAAGGGGGCGUAAGCUCCUGCCAUAAGAUGAGCCCAAGUGGGAUUAGGUAGUUGGUGAGGUAAUGGCUCACCAAGCCUGCGAUCUCUAGCUGGUCUGAGAGGAUGACCAGCCACACCGGGACUGAGACACGGCCCGGACUCCUACGGGAGGCAGCAGUGGGGAAUAUUGCGCAAUGGGGGGAACCCUGACGCAGCCAUGCCGCGUGAAUGAAGAAGGCCUUCGGGUUGUAAAGUUCUUUCGGUGAUGAGGAAGGUGAUAAGGUUAAUACCCUUAUUAAUUGACGUUAGUCACAGAAGAAGCACCGGCUAACUCCGUGCCAGCAGCCGCGGUAAUACGGAGGGUGCGAGCGUUAAUCGGAAUAACUGGGCGUAAAGGGCACGCAGGCGGAUUUUUAAGUGAGGUGUGAAAGCCCCGGGCUUAACCUGGGAAUUGCAUUUCAGACUGGGAAUCUAGAGUACUUUAGGGAGGGGUAGAAUUCCACGUGUAGCGGUGAAAUGCGUAGAGAUGUGGAGGAAUACCGAAGGCGAA